GUUGGCUUGGAAGCAGCCAUUCAUUUAAAGAGUGCGUAACAGCUCACUAGUCGAGGAUUUUGGCAUGGAUAAUAAUCGGGCAUAAGCAGUGUACCGAAGCUGUGGGAUGUUAAUACAUCGGUAGGGGAGCAUUCUAACGGAGUAGAAGAUUCGAAGACGAUUCGGGUUGGAUUUGUUAGAAAAGCAAAUGUAGGUAUAAGUAACGAUAAAGGGGGUCAGAAACCCCCUCGCCGAAAGACCAAGGUUUCCUGAUCAACGCUAAACGGAUCAGGGUUAGUCGGGCCCUAAGCGGUAGCCGAACGGCGCACGCGAUGGCAGAAUGGGUUAAUAUUCCCAUACUAAUCAUAUGAGUGAUGUGGAGACGGAGAAGUGACAGUACGGCCAACUGACGGAAUAGUUGGUUAAAGGGUGUAGAUGUAGAUUGGGGUAGGCAAAUCCGCCCUGAGAGUCGAACCUGAUAGUACAGAGCGUGCAUGCACAAUCUGAAAAGUACGUAACCAGGCUCCCAAGAAAAUCCGCUAAACAUAUUGUAUGAUUACCCGUACCGUAAACCGACACAGGUGGUUGGGUUGAGUAUACUAAGGCGCUCGAGUGAUUCGCGGUUAAGGAACUAGGCAAAAUAGUCCUGUAACUUCGGGAAAAAGGACGCCUCUGAGUAAUCAGAGGUCGCAGAGAAAAGGCCCUGGCGACUGUUUAACAAAAACACAUGGCUAUGCGAAAUAGAAAUAUGCAGUAUAUAGCCUGACACCUGCCCGGUGCCGGAAGGUUAAGAGGAGAGGUCAUCCUAUUAGGAGAAGCUUUGAAUUGAAGCCCCGGUAAACGGCGGCCGUAACUAUAACGGUCCUAAGGUAGCGAAAUUCCUUGUCGGGCAAGUUCCGACCUGCACGAAUGGUGUAACGAUCUGGGCACUGUCUCAACCGCGAGCUCGGUGAAAUUGUAGUAUCGGUGAAGAUGCCGAUUACCCGCAACGGGACGAAAAGACCCCGUGAACCUUUACUAUAGCUUUAUAUUGUAGCCGGGUAUUAGAUGUGUAGGAUAGGCCGGAGGCAGAGAAUGGGCAACGCCAGUUGUCUUGGAGCCGCUGUUGAAAUACGGCCCUUUUACUAUUUGGCUACUAACACGCGCGUUGCGUGGACAGUGUAUGGUGGGUAGUUUGACUGGGGUGGUCGCCUCCAAAAGUGUAACGGAGGCUUCUAAAGGUACCCUCAGACCGAUUGGUAACCGGUCGCAGAGUGUAAUGGCAUAAGGGUGCUUGACUGGGAGACAAACAAGUCGCACAGGUAGGAAACUAGAGCAUAGUGAUCCGGUGGUUCCGCAUGGA
rnacentral:rRNA from 1 species